rnacentral:rRNA from 1 species
UACGUAGGGACCAAGCGUUGUUCGGAUUUACUGGGCGUAAAGGGCGCGUAGGUGGCGGGACAAGCGUGCGGUGAAAGCUUGGGGCUCAACCCCGAGUCGGCCGUGCGAACUGUCUUGCUUGAGCACUGUAGAGGCAGGCGGAAUUCCGGGUGUGGCGGUGGAAUGCGUAGAGAUCCGGAAGAACACCGGUGGCGAAGGCGGCCUGCUGGGCAGUAGCUGACACUGAGGCGCGACAGCGUGGGGAGCAAACAGG